CAGUCGCCACGGGAAUACAGAGGGUGCGAGCGUUAAUCGGAUUUACUGGGCGUAAAGCGUGCGUAGGCGGCUUCUUAAGUCGGAUGUGAAAUCCCUGAGCUUAACUUAGGAAUUGCAUUCUAUACUGGGAAGCUAGAGUAUGGGAGAGGAUGGUAGAAUUCCAGGUGUAGCGGUGAAAUGCGUAGAGAUCUGGAGGAAUACCGAUGGCGAAGGCAGCCAUCUGGCCUAAUACUGACGCUGAGGUACGAAAGCAUAAGGAGCAAACAGGAUUAGAUACCCCUGUAGUCCCUGUCUCUUAUAC
rnacentral:rRNA from 1 species